CCUACGGGAGGCAGCAGUAGGGAAUAUUGGUCAAUGGUGGAAACACUGAAGCAGCAACGCAGCGUGGAGGAUGACGGUUUUAGGAUUUGAAACUCCUUUUGUGAGAGGAGUUAAUGACGGUAUCUCACGAAUAAGCACCGGCUAACUCCGUGCCAGCAGCCGCGGUAAUACGGAGGGUGCAAGCGUUACUCGGAAUCACUGGGCGUUAAGAGUGCGCAGGCGGGCUUGUAAGUCAGCUGUGAAAUCCUGUAGCUUAACUACAGAACUGCAUGUGGAACUAUGAGGCUAGAGUGUGGGGAAGGUAUGCGGAAUUCUUGGUGUAGGGGUAAAAUCCGUAGAUAUCAAGAGGAAUACUCAUUGCGAAGGCGACCUACUGGAACAUUACUGACGCUCAUGCACGAAAGCGUGGGUAGCAAACAGGAUUAGAUACCCGUGUAGUC
rnacentral:rRNA from 1 species